GAGCCUACGGGGGCAGCAGUAGGGAAUUUUCGUCAAUGGGCGCAAGCCUGAACGAGCAAUGCCGCGUGAACGAGGAAGGUCUUCGGAUCGGAAAGUUCUGGUGAAGGGGAAAAAGAGCGGAGAGAGGAAAUGGUCUGCGAUUGAUAUGACCCUUCGAGGAAGUCAAGGCUAACUAAGUGCCAGCAGCCUCGGUAAUACGUAGGUGGCGAGCGGUAUCCGGAAUGAUGGGGCG
rnacentral:rRNA from 1 species